AUUGAACGCUGGCGGCAUGCCUUACACAUGCAAGUCGAACGGCAGCACGGGAGCAAUCCUGGUGGCGAGUGGCGAACGGGUGAGUAAAGUAUCGGAACGUGCCCAGUCGUGGGGGAUAACGUAGCGAAAGUUACGCUAAUACCGCAUACGAUCUAUGGAUGAAAGCGGGGGAUCGCAAGACCUCGCGCGAUUGGAGCAGCCGAUAUCAGAUUAGGUAGUUGGUGGGGUAAAGGCUCACCAAGCCGACGAUCUGUAGCUGGUCUGAGAGGACGACCAGCCACACUGGGACUGAGACACGGCCCAGACUCCUACGGGAGGCAGCAGUGGGGAAUUUUGGACAAUGGGCGCAAGCCUGAUCCAGCCAUGCCGCGUGCAGGAUGAAGGCCUUCGGGUUGUAAACUGUUUUUGUACGGAACGAAAAGGUUUGACUUAAUACGUUGGACUCAUGACGGUACCGUAAGAAUAAGCACCGGCUAACUACGUGCCAGCCGCCGCAGUAA
rnacentral:rRNA from 1 species